rnacentral:rRNA from 1 species
GACGCGGAGACAACGCUGGCGGCAGGCUACACAUGCAGUCGAGCGCGCCUUCGGGUGAGCGGCGGACGGGUUAGUAACGCGUGGGAACGUGCCCUUCUCUACGGAAUAGCCUCUGGAAACGGAGAGUAAUACCGUAUACGCCCUUUGGGGGAAAGAUUUAUCGGAGAAGGAUCGGCCCGCGUUAGAUUAGGUAGUUGGUGGGGUAACGGCCUACCAAGCCUACGAUCUAUAGCUGGUUUUAGAGGAUGAUCAGCAACACUGGGACUGAGACACGGCCCAGACUCCUACGGGAGGCAGCAGUGGGGAAUCUUAGACAAUGGGGGCAACCCUGAUCUAGCCAUGCCGCGUGAGUGAUGAAGGCCUUAGGGUCGUAAAGCUCUUUCGCCUGUGAUGAUCAUGACAGUAGCAGGUAAAGAAACCCCGGCUAACUCCGUGCCAGCAGCCGCGGUAAUACGGAGGGGGUUAGCGUUGUUCGGAAUUACUGGGCGUAAAGCGCGCGUAGGCGGAUUAGAAAGUUGGGGGUGAAAUCCCGGGGCUCAACCCCGGAACUGCCUCCAAAACUGCUAGUCUAGAGUUCGAGAGAGGUGAGUGGAAUUCCGAGUGUAGAGGUGAAAUUCGUAGAUAUUCGGAGGAACACCAGUGGCGAAGGCGGCUCACUGGCUCGAUACUGACGCUGAGGUGCGAAAGUGUGGGGAGCAAACAGGGAUAGAUACCCUGGGUAGUCCACACGGUAAACGAAUGAUCGCCGUCCUCGGGAUAAGAUCACAAUCCGGGGAAAACCUUAACGGAUUAAGCUUCCGCCUGGG